rnacentral:rRNA from 1 species
UACGUAGGGGGCGAGCGUUGUCCGGAAUUAUUGGGCGUAAAGAGCGUGUAGGUGGUUCGGUAAGUCUGCCGUGAAAACCUGGGGCUCAACCCUGGGCGUGCGGUGGAUACUGCCGGGCUAGAGGGUGGUAGAGGCGAGUGGAAUUCCCGGUGUAGCGGUGAAAUGCGCAGAUAUCGGGAGGAACACCAGUAGCGAAGGCGGCUCGCUGGGCCAUUCCUGACGCUGAGACGCGAAAGCUAGGGGAGCGAACAGG